rnacentral:rRNA from 1 species
UACCAGCACCCCGAGUGGUCGGGACGAUUAUUGGGCCUAAAGCAUCCGUAGCCGGUCCUGCAAGUCUUCCGUUAAAUCCAGCUGCUCAACAGAUGGGCUGCGGGGGAUACUACAGGGCUAGGAGGCGGGAGAGGCAAGCGGUACUUUAUGGGGUAGGGGUAAAAUCCGUUGAUCCAUAGAAGACCACCAGUGGCGAAGGCGGCUUGCCAGAACGCGCUCGACGGUGAGGGAUGAAAGCUGGGGGAGCAAACCGG